UAACCGUUUUGCACGGCAUAGUUUACGGUGUACUGAAGUCGCAUUUGUUCCCGCAUUUGUCAUCUCGCGCGACCCUUAGUUUCAGUUACCCAUUAAGGCGUGUCCAGCUUUUUUCACAUAACGACCCCAUAGCAGUAUGUAUAUAUUUGACGUGAAUGCUGACGCAGAAGCGGCAGCCCUCGUGUUAAGACCUUGUCGUGUAAAGAUCAGCAAGUCUACCUGUGCGAGUCCACCGACAAGGCACCACUCACCAUAGCACUUAAGUAUCUUUUUAAUUAUUCUUAUUAUUUUCCUUAUACAUUCCCAUAUGUCUUCUCCACGCAUAACAUGUGCUCUCAAGCACAUACCUGUUAUCUGUAACAGACAGUUUACAUGAUAUAGACGCAGGACACAACGCAACCCACACAACCUACAGCCACUUCACACAUCAGCACCUGCUCCGCUCUCAUUUUCGGUGGGAAUCUGGAACUGUCAGUCAGCUGUGAACAAAGCUGACUUCAUUCCAGUCUACCCUCAGCAUCCUCACACUGACAGAAACAUGGAUACAUCCAGAGGAUACAGCAACACCCUCUGCUCUCUCCAACAACUUCUCCUUCUCUCACACCCCUUGACAUACUGGUAGGGGUGGGGGAACAGGUUUGCUCAUUCCAAACAACUGGACACUCCUCUCUAUGUAACAAUACUUCUUUUGAAUUCCAUGCUAUCACUACAAUGUAACCCACAAAAAUCCAUGUUGUUUUAAUCUAUAGCCCUCCAGGCCAGCUGGCAAACUUUCUUGAGGAGCUGGAUGUCCUGCUGCCCUCCUUCCUUGAAGAUGGUAGGCCACUUGUGGUUCUUGGGGAUUUCAACAUACGCCAAGACAAGCCCCAGGCCAUGGAAUGUCAUGCUCUUCUAGCCUCAUUUGACUUGGAAAGACUAAGCACUACAGCAACACACAGAUCGGGCAACCAGCUGGACCUCAUUUUUACACGCCAGCACGUAUGACACCGCCCAGCCCCUGGCUCUCUGACGUUCUUUGUGAACAUCGGACUGAUCUCAGGGUGGUUGAGAGGAGAUGGUGGAAAUCUAAAGAUCCAGCAGAUCUGGAACAAGCUGCUGGAUGACAAUCAGUCAGGCUUCAAAAGUGGACAUUCCACCGAGACUGCCCUGCUGUCUGUCACUGAGUCAUUGAAACAGGCGAGAGCUGGAUCCAGAUCAUCCGUCCUGAUUCUUCUGGACCUUUCUGCAGCCUCUGACACAGUCAACCAUCAGAUCCUACUCUCCACCCUCUCUACUCUGGGCAUCACAGGAACUGUGCUUGACUGGUUGAAAUCCUAUCUCACAGGCAGGUCCUUCAAGAUAGCCUGGAGAAGUGAGGUGUCCAAGUCACAUCAGCUACUUACCGGGGUACCUCAGGGCUCAGUGCUUGGGCCACUUCUCUUCUCUAUAUACACAACAGAACUGGGAACCAUAACUCAGGCACAUAGGUUCUCUUACCACUGCUAUGCCAAUGACACACAGCUCUACUUGUCUUUCCAGCCCAACGACACCACGGUGACUGCUAGUAUCUUGGCCUGUUUGGCCGACAUUUCGUUCAGCUGGGUUCAACUACAGUAACACCUAACAAAAUGGUCAGAAAUCUUGGGGUAACCAUCGAUAACCAACUCAAUUUCACAGACCACAUCUCAAAGACAGCACAAUCAUGUAGAUUUACACUCUACAAUAUCAGGAAAAUAAGACCCUGAAAAUCGUCUCUGAACAUGCCACACAAAUUCUUGUUCCCUCCCUGCAUGCGCAAUUAGGCCCCUGAAAAUUAUCCAGAAUGCAGCAGUACAUCUGGUCUUUAAUUUACAUUUAUGCAUUUGGCAGAUGCUUUUAUCCAAAGCAACUUACAGUGCCCUUAUUACAGGGACAAUCCCCCUGGAGUUAAGUGCCUUGCUCAAAGACACAAUGGUGGUGGUUGUGGGGAUUGAACCAACAAACUUUUGCUUACCAGUUCAGUGCUUUAGUCCACUACACCACCACCACUUUAAUGAACCAAAAAGAGUGCAUGUUAAACCACUCCUUAUCUCUUUUCACUGGCUGCUGGUUGAUGCACGUAUCAAAUUCAAGGCUCUGAUGCUGGCAUACAGAACAGUCACUGGGUCUGCUCCAGCAUACCUAAAAUAAUUUCUGUAGAGUUACGUUCCCACCAGAAGACUGUGGUUGGCUAAUGAGCGGCGCCUUGUUGUACCAACACACAGAGGCACCAAAACACUUU